UACGUAGGAUGCAAGUGUUAUCCGGAAUCACUGGGCGUAAAGCGUCUGUAGGUGGCUUAAUAAGUCAACUGUUAAAUCUUGAAGCUCAACUUCAAAAUCGCAGUCGAAACUAUUAGACUAGAGUAUAGUAGAGGUAAAGGGAAUUUCCAGUGGAGCGGUGAAAUGCGUAGAGAUUGGAAAGAUCACCGAUGGCGAAGGCACUUUACUGGGCUAUUACUGACACUCAGAGACGAAAGCUAGGGUAGCAAAUGGG
rnacentral:rRNA from 1 species